ACUAAAACAACUUUUUCAUUACUACCUUUAAAUACAAACCUAAAAAGCUAUUGCAAAAUGGGUGAGGAAUCGUCAAAUUCUAUCUUCGACAAAUAUUGAUUGUAUUACGUAUGUUGCUGUAGUUUUUUUUAUUUUUUUGUGUCGAUGCAAAACCCUAAAAGAUGCUAGCCCUGAUGUGAGAUGCAAUGUUUGAGAAGUCUGUUUUCCCUGUGUAUCAGUGACAGGAUGUCAGAAAGGAGCAGAGUCAAACAGAGUAAAGACCUUCCAGCAGUUGACAGCAGAAAAGAAAACAUUCUAGGACGCCACAGACAGUGUACACUGCAGACAGCGUGACGGCAGACAGUGUAAACUAAAGGUGUCUGAACAUGAUUAGUCACAUCAUGGGCUGAGCUUUGGUAUGAUUGGGUUAACAUGAAAAGACAUGUUAAAUAUUUUGGGUUGGUGUUCGAAACGCAAAUGGAUCAGAGUUUUGGAAGAGGCAUAAUCCUCACAGAACAGGAAGUGUAUGAGUCAUGAAGUUUCCCCUCCGUUAUCUGCUUUCACACGCUCCGCAUCGCCUGCGACCAGAAACGUGCUGCUUGCGGCUGUUUCAUGCGCCCCCUCCCCUCCUGCCCUACCAGGACACAGACAAGGACACGUCAAAACAGGGACACAGGCAACUAUGACAUCCCUUCAACAGAUGAUCGUUACCGCCUCGAUUCUGUGGAAGAAGCAUGAGCUGUUCCUUGUCCUACACCUUACGAACACCACUUCAAAAUAUACUGUACGUACCAAAGUAUAUAUUUACUGCUUUUUUUCCACAGGUACACCCUUGCAUUUGUUUUAGGUUCAUGUUGUUAAAUUGUUUUAUUGUAACUUGUUCAACUACAUGCUCUUAUGGUUCUUCCCUUCUUCUCUGCUAAAUGAAUAAAUGUUCCCUUUGGGACUUAUUUAGUUUUUAAAAU